UAGAAUAUAUCGUGUAUACAAAUUUAAAAAAAUGAAAUCGGUAACGCCGUCCUGUAAAUAUAUGCCGUUUUACUUAUAAUUUUCUAUCGGGGUUUUUUAUGUUAAAGAGAAUGGUACAAUCACAGUUUUUCAGAAACUAUUAUUUUAGAAGUUAUAUUGGUUUAGUGACCGUAUAUACAUAUACGUGGAACAAAUAAUAACUGUAGG